UUGAACAUUGCGUCCUCUAGC
rnacentral:siRNA from 1 species